GACAACGGUGAUGAGUCUAUACAGACCUGUAAUGAUGUGCGAAUAUGAUCGCAAUUUUAAUGAACAUCUAAGGGACUGAGUUGUU
rfam:Daucus carota subsp. sativus cultivar DH1 chromosome 2, whole genome shotgun sequence.